AAUGGGCGCAAGCCUGAUCCAGCAAUGCCGCGUGGGUGAAGAAGGCCUGCGGGUUGUAAAGCCCUUUAAGCGGGGAGGAACGCCGGAUCGCGAAUAGCGUUUCGGACUGACGUUACCCGCAGAAUAAGCACCGGCUAACUCCGUGCCAGCAGCCGCGGUAAUACGGGGGGUGCGAGCGUUAAUCGGAAUUACUGGGCGUAAAGCGUGCGUAGGCGGCGCAAUCAGUCAGCCGUGAAAGCCCCGGGCUUAACCUGGGAAUGGCGGUUGAGACGGUUGGGCUAGAGUGGGCUAGAGGAUCGUGGAACUCCCGGUGUAGCGGUGAAAUGCGUAGAGAUCGGGAAGAACACCGAUGGCGAAGGCAGCGGUCUGGGGCCACACUGACGCUGAGGCACGACGGCGUGGGGAGCAAA
rnacentral:rRNA from 1 species